rnacentral:rRNA from 1 species
AGAGAUGCAGUUGGGCAAUAAAGGGUGCGCAGGUCGGUUUUGUAAGACAGAGGUGAAAUCCCCGGGCUCAACCUGGGAACUGCCUUUGUGACUGCAAGGCUGGAGUGCGGCAGAGGGGGAUGGAAUUCCGCGUGUAGCAGUGAAAUGCGUAGAUAUGCGGAGGAACACCGAUGGCGAAGGCAAUCCCCUGGGCCUGCACUGACGCUCGUGCACGAAAGCGUGGGGAGCAAACA